UACAGAGGUGGCAAGCGUUGUUCGGAAUUACUGGGCGUAAAGGGCUCGUAGGCGGCCAACUAAGUCAGACGUGAAAUCCCUCAGCUUAACUGGGGAACUGCGUCUGAUACUGGAUGGCUUGGAUUCGGGAGAGGAAUGCGGAAUUCCAGGUGUAGCGGUGAAAUGCGUAGAUAUCUGGAGGAACACCGGUGGCGAAGGCGGCAUUCUGGACCGACAUUGACGCUGAGGAGCGAAAGCCAGGGGAGCAAACGGG
rnacentral:rRNA from 1 species